AUGGUGUGAUGUCAUGUGAUCAUUACUAGGUGAAGUCAUUGGCGGAUUGUGCAAGUGGGAUGGUGUAAGUGUCUAUGAAGAAUUAAGAGACGUCUUGUUGAGUGGAAUAAAGAAUAACAUAGUGAGGGAGCUCGAUCCUACCGAUCAUGCUGAACUGGUCAAGAAACUACAAGAGGAUAAUACUAGUGAAGACCAAGAGGAGAACAGAAGUGCUAGUCCUUCACCUCCUCCUACAGCUUCUAAUGUCUUUCAUGAAACAGCUGGUUGGAAGAGCUUAGAGACUUACAUGAAUGCUCUACAGUAUGCUGUUGAAGGUUGUGGCAGCUCAUUUGAGCCACACAUUACAUCAGAGCUCCUUGAUCUUCUCUUCACUGCACUGGAACACAUCAACAGGUUUGUACGUGAGACAGGAUAUAAGGUCCUCGCUGCCAUUGUCAAGUGUCCGGGUAAGAAGUAAAUGUACAAUGUAGACUUGAGUGCAUGUGCAAUGUACAUGUACAUGUAGUUACUAGUGUUAAAGCAGGGUUUCCCAUAGAAUUUUGCAUAGUGCUAAUGCAGGCUCUUGUCAGUGGAUUUUGAAUUUUUCCCGAAAUUUGAUUGUACAAAUUCUGCAUGUGGUAGCAAACUUAUUUAUUAUUAAUGAUGGAAAGUAAUUGAUUUUAGUGAGAACAAGCCAAAUUGUAAAUCUCUUGUUUGAGCUCUGUUGCAACAAUUAUUCAAAAUACCAUGCAUACCACCUUCUUUCUCACCUUCUCUCUCUCUCACCCUCCAAUGAAUUUAGAAAUUUUUUUUAAGUUGUUAAAAAUCAGACAGAAAUUAUAAGGAGAGAAUUCUCAAUUUGUAUAAUUUUUUCUGAUACAUAUACAUGUACAUGUAUGUAUAUUCC